CUUCCCUUCAAAAUUCCCUGAAGCGGCACCGGCUACCCCAGCACUUGGCAGUUGAAGCAAGGAACCGACCAACUUCUGCGAGUCCACAGACUCCAGUUUGUAGGGUCAAGUUGUGCCUCCUUUCAAUAGCAUAUUUUCAGAAGAAAGAAUGCAGUGACUCCAAGCUCUUGGUCCACUGCAAAAAUGCGGCAGAGGCUGAACAAUAAUUGAAUUAAGAACCACAAAAGUUGAAUAUUUUCUCCCAGAGAACCUUACCUGAGGACUGGUAUCUUCAUUCCCAUCUAAUGGAUGAAGAAGCUGAGGCUCAGAGUCUCCAGGACAGCCCAGCUCACACCAGUCACUGGUCAAGACUGUCCCCAACAGUCUUUGCUGCAUGGGCUGAUGAUUUUAUGACUUGCAAGAGCUCUGGACAAUGAGGCCUCAUUUUCCCUCUGAACAAAGUGGAGGAAGAACAACAGCCAAAGGAAGACUCAAAGGGGAGACAAUGGGGAUAAUGACGAGAUCUGAUGACGUGGGGCAGUCAGACCCAAGGAAAUGCAGCACCGGCCGCAUAAAGCCUCCUCCUGUAUCCAAUGCCGAGGAACCAAAACAUGGAGCCCAGAGCUGGAGCCUUGGGAUGCCUUCCCAAAUUACACUGUAACAGUCACAGGAGUAGGGCUCAUGUUUCUUCUAUAAUUGUAGAAUUUAAGGCACAAUUUAUUGGUUGCUUUCAUCUUCCUCAGGUCUUGCUAUGCUCUAUUAAGUUUGGAA